rnacentral:rRNA from 1 species
AGUAACACGUGGGUAUCUGCCUAUUAGUGGGGGACAACUUGGAGAAAUCCAAGCUAAUACCGCAUAAUCUCUACGGAGGAAAGCGGGGGAUCUUCGGACCUCGCGCUGAUAGAUGGGCCCGCGCCUGAUUAGCUAGUUGGUAAGGUAAUGGCUUACCAAGGCGAUGAUCAGUAACUGGUUUGAGAGGAUGAUCAGUCACACUGGAACUGAGACACGGUCCAG